rnacentral:rRNA from 1 species
UACAGACGGUCCCAAGCGUUGUUCGGAUUCAUUGGGCGUAAAGGGGUGCGUAGGCGGCGCGGUAAGUCGGGGUGUGAAAUCUCGGGGCUUAACUCCGAAAACUGCAUUCGAUACUGGCGUGCUUGAGGACUGGAGAGGAGACUGGAAUUUACGGUGUAGCAGUGAAAUGCGUAGAUAUCGUAAGGAAGACCAGUGGCGAAGGCGGGGUCUCUGGACAGUUCCUGACACUGAGACACGAAGGCCAGGGGGAGCAAACGGGG